rnacentral:rRNA from 1 species
GAUGAACGCUGGCGGCGUGCCUAAUACAUGCCAGUCGAGCGAACGGACGAGAAGCUUGCUUCUCUGAUGUUAGCGGCGGACGGGUGAGUAACACGUGGAUAACCUACCUAUAAGACUGGGAUAACUUCGGGAAACCGGAGCUAAUACCGGAUGAUAUUUUGAACCGCAUGGUUCAAAAGUGAAAGACGGUCUUGCUGUCACUUAUAGAUGGAUCCGCGCUGCAUUAGCUAGUUGGUAAGGUAACGGCUUACCAAGGCAACGAUGCAUAGCCGACCUGAGAGGGUGAUCGGCCACACUGGAACUGAGACACGGUCCAGACUCCUACGGGAGGCAGCAGUAGGGAAUCUUCCGCAAUGGGCGAAAGCCUGACGGAGCAACGCCGCGUGAGUGAUGAAGGUCUCCGGAUCGUAAAACUCUGUUAUUAGGGAAGAACAUAUGUGUAAGUAACUGUGCACAUCUUGACGGUACCUAAUCAGAAAGCCACGGCUAACUACGUG